rnacentral:lncRNA from 10 species
AGGCAACAACAUCCCAGAGCUGGGCGGGUUAAGGAGGAGGAUGGCGCCGUCCUGCAGAUGUGCGGGGACGCGCGCCCGCCGCAACGUGAGGCUCAUAGGCCACACGCAACUCUGAGCAUUGGCCAGGACCUGUAGUAGCCAACAGGACACUUAAUAACUGAUGUAUAGGUGCGCACUGUGUGUCCAGAGCUUUACGUUAACCACCUCACUGUGUCAUCUCGCUGAGGUUGUGUGGUUUACUAUUACUGCUAUUAGCGCAUUUUUAAGCGGGAAACCUGAGGCAUGAGGAGGCUGGAGUGCAGUGACGUGAUCUCGGCUCGCUACAACCUCCACCUCCCAGCCGCCUGCCUUGGCCUCCCAAAGUGCCGAGAUUGCAACCUCUGCCCGGCCGCCACCCCGUCUGGGAAGUGAGGAGCGUCUCUGCCUGGCCGCCCAUCGUCUGGGAUGUGAGGAGCCCCUCUGCCCGGCUGCCCAGUCUGGGAAGUGAGGAGCGCCUCUUCCCGGCCGCCAUCCCGUCUAGGAAGUGAGGAGCGUCUCUGCCUGGCUGCCCAUUGUCUGAGAUGUGGGGAUUGCCUCUGCCCCACUGCCCCGUCUGGGAUGUGAGGAGCGCCUCUGCCCGGCCGCGACCCUGUCUAGGAACUGAGGAGUGUCUCUGCCCGAUCGCCACCCAGUCUGCGAGGUGAGGAGCGUCUCUGCCCGGCCGCCCCGUCUGAGAAGUGAGGAGCCCCUCCGCCCGGCAGCCACCCCGUCUGGGAAGUGAGGAGCUCCUCCGCCCGGCAGCCGCCCCGUCUGGGAAGUGAGGAGCCCCUCCGCCCGGCAGCCGCCCCGUCCGGGAAGUGAGGAGCGUCUCCGCCCGGCAGCCACCCUGUCCGGGAGGUGGGGGGCAGCCCCCGCCUGGCCAGCCGCCCCGUCCGGGAGGGAGGUGGGGGGCGCCUCUGCCCGGCCGCCUCGUCUGGGAAGUGAGGAGCCCCUCUGCCCGGCUGCCACCCCGUCUGGGAGGUGUACCCGACAGCUCAUUGGGAACGGGCCAUGAUGAUGAUGGCGGUUUUGUUGAAUAGAAAAGGGGGAAAUGUGGGGAAAAGAGAGAGAUCAGAUUGUUACUGUGUCUGUGUAGAAAGAAGUAGACAUGGGAGACUCCAUUUUGUUCUGUACUAAGAAAAAUUCUUCUGCCUUGGGAUGCUGUUAAUCUAUAACCUUACCCCCAACCCCGUGCUCUCUGAAACAUGUGCUGUAUCCACUCAGGGUUAAAUGGAUUAAGGGCGGUGCAAGAUGUGCUUUGUUAAACAGAUGCUUGAAGGCAGCAUGGUCAUUAAGAGUCAUCACCACUCCCUAAUUUCAAGUACCCAGGGACACAAACACGGUGGAAGGCCGCAGGGUCCUCUGCCUAGGAAAACCAGAGAUGCUUGUUCACAUGUUUAUCUGCUGACCUUCCCUCCACUAUUGUCCUAUGACCCUGCCAAAUCCCCCUCUCCGAGAAACACCCAAGAAUGAUCAAUAAAUACUAAAAGAACAAAAAAAAAAAAACAAACACAAAACAAAAAAACCCAAAACAACAACAACAACAACAAAAAUUGUAGCCCAGGUGCGGUAGUUCAUGCCUGUAAUCCCAGCACUUUGGGAGGCCAAGGUAGGUGAAUCACUUGAGAUCAGGAGUUCGAAACCAGCCUAGCCAACAUGUGGCCAACAUAGCGAAACCUGGUCUCUACUAAAAAUACAAAAAGCCAGGUGUGUUGGUGCUCACCUGUAGUCCCAGCUACUCAGGAGGUUGAGGCACGAGAAUCACUUGAAACCAGGAGGCUGAGGUUGCAGUGAGCUGAGAUCAUGCCACCGCACUCAAGCCUGGGUGACAGAGCUAGACUGUCUCAAAAAACAAACAGACAAACAAAAACUAUAGGCUGGACACGGUAGCUCAUGCCUGUAAUCCCAACGGGCAGAUUGCUUGAGCUCAGGAGUUUGAGACCAGCCUGGGCAACAUGGCAAAACCUCUUCUCUACUAAAAAUAUAAAAAAUUAGCCAGGCAGGAUUGUGUGUGUCUGUGGUCCCAGCUACCAGGGAGGCUGAGAUAGGACGAUUACUUGAGCCCAGGAGGCAGAGGUUGCAGUGAGCUGAGAUCUUACCACUGCAUUCCAGCAAGACUCAGUCUCAAAAAAAAAAAAGAAAAAAAAAAAAAGAAAAAUUGUAAAAAGCAAUUUCUUGUAAAAAACAAAAACUGUACAGAGGCUACAAACAAUUGCCCCAUUUAUGUUGCCUACCCAGUCCUCAAAGAUGGCCAUUGCUCUUUGACACCUAUAUUGAUCAAGAUGUUUUCUCUGUUUAGACUUCAUAUAUAUGUGAACAUAAUUUCUGCCAUAUUUGGAGUAAUUUUGAACACACUGUUCUCCUACUCUUUUUUAAUUCCUCAAAUUGUAUUUUGGUUAUCUUUUUUUUUCCUUUUGAGAUGGAGUUUCACUCUUGUUGCCCAGGCUGGAGUGCAAUGGUGCCAUCUCAGCUCACAACAACCUCCGCCUCCCGGGUUUGAGCGAUUCUCCUGCCUCAGCCUCCCGAGUAGCUGGGAUUACAGCUAUGCACCACCACGCCUGGCUAAUUUUGUAUUUUUAAUAGAAGCAGGGUUUCUCCAUGUUGGUCAGGCGGGUCUCGAACUCUCGAACUCAAGUGAUCCACCCGCCUCGGCCUCCCAAAGUGCUGGGAUUGCAGGCGUGAGUCACCGUGCCUGGCCUUGUGGAUAUCUUUCUAUGUCAGUACAUAGAACUUGAUAUUAAGUGCUAUCUAUAUACUGAUGACUCUCAGUGUAUUUACAUUUUCAGCUCAGACUUCUCUUCUGAACUCUAGACUUAUAAAUAUCUACUUGACAUUGACAUAACCACCCUGAUGUCUCACAGAUUCCUUUUUUUUUUUUUUUUGAGAUGGAGUUUUGCUCUUGUUGCCUAGGCUGGAGUGCAAUGGCGUGAGCUCAGCUCACCACAACCUCCGCCUCCUGGGUUCAAGCUCAAGCAAUUCUCCUGCCUCAGCCUCCCAAGUAGCUGGGAUUACAGGCAUGUGCCACCACACCCAGCUAAUUUUGUAUUUUUUUUUUUUUUUUUAGUAGAGACGGGGUUUCUCCGUGUUGAUCAGGCUGGUCUCGAACUCCCCACCUCAGGUGAUCCACCCACCUCGGCCUCCCAAAGUGCUAGGAUUACAGGCGUGAGCCACUGUGCCCGGCCCCACCCCCCCGCUUUUUUUUUUGAGAUGGAGUCUUGCUCUGUCACCCAGGCUGGAGUGCAGCUGUGUGAUCUCAGCUCAGGGCAACUUCUGCCUCCUGGGUUCACGCAAUUCUCUUGUCUCAGUCUCCUGUGUAGCUGGGAUUACAGGCGCGUGCCACCACGUCUGGCUAUUUUUUUUUUUCUUUUUCUUUUUUUGAGACAGUGUCUAGCUCUGUCACCCAGGCUGGAGUGCAGUGGCGCGAUCUCGGCUCACUGCAACCUCUGCCUCCUGGG